UUUCCGUAGGUGAACCUGCGGAAGGAUCAUUAACGAGUUAGGGUCUUCUAGGCCCGACCUCCCAACCCUUUGUUUACUGAACCAUUGUUGCCUCGGUGGGUCCGUCUUACGACCGCCGGGGGAUCGCCGCGAGGCGCCCCCUGGCCAGCGCCCACCGAUAGCCCAACCAUUAAAACCCUUUGUGAAUCGUGUCUUAUGUCUAAAUUUAUGAUUAAACAAUCAAAACAAAACUUUCAACAACGGAUCUCUUGGUUCUG
rnacentral:misc_RNA from 1 species